UAAAAUAUGCCACGUGUCGACUGAACGCCUGUACAUUUAUCAAACCCUAAAUUCCCCUUUCCGACCUAUAUAUGUUCCCCUUUCGAGCCAUUUCCCUUCUCUCUUCUUCCCCUUUCACUCAAUUCUGCUCUCACUCUUGUCUGGGUAUGUACAAGCAUAUACUAUCGAAAUUUCCAGAAUCAAAUCCUCCGAAAUUCACC
rnacentral:lncRNA from 1 species